AUUCCUUAAUGGUCUUCCAAAUGCCAGGUCUUGCAGGAUCAAACUACUCGCUGAUCUAGCAGUCUAGCUCGUAAUGGCGGAUGUCGAGAAACUUGUGCAGGUUGAUACACUGGACACAAUGCUGGACACAAAUGAGAACAAAGAUGGCAGCUUUUUUUCUUGGCUCACUCCGUCCAAGACGAAGAGCAAAGAUGAUAUACCAGAUCCGGUAGAGCAAGAACUGAAUAUGAAAUCCAUGAGUAACGAAGAUCUUGAAUCGAUACCCUGGUAUCGAACAA
rnacentral:sRNA from 1 species